rnacentral:tRNA from 1 species
CGGGGUGCCCGAGCGGCUAAGGGGCAGGCCUCGAGAGCCUGUGGGCGAAAGCCCGUGUGGGUUCGAAUCCCACCCCCGGCGCCA